rnacentral:rRNA from 1 species
UACAGAGGGUGCAAGCGUUGUUCGGAAUUAUUGGGCGUAAAGAGCGUGUAGGCGGCCCGGUAAGUCCGCUGUGAAAGUCGGGGGCUCAACCCUCGGAUGCCGGUGGAUACUGUCGGGCUCGAGUACGGAAGAGGCGAGUGGAAUUCCUGGUGUAGCGGCGAAAUGCGCAGAUAUCAGGAGGAACACCUAUUGCGAAGGCAGCUCGCUGGGACGUUACUGACGCUGAGACGCGAAAGCGUGGGGAGCAAACAGG